UAGGGAAUCUUCCGCAAUGGGCGAAAGCCUGACGGAGCAACGCCGCGUGAGUGAUGAAGGUCUUAGGAUCGUAAAACUCUGUUAUUAGGGAAGAACAAAUGUGUAAGUAACUAUGCACGUCUUGACGGUACCUAAUCAGAAAGCCACGGCUAACUACGUGCCAGCAGCCGCGGUAAUACGUAGGUGGCAAGCGUUAUCCGGAAUUAUUGGGCGUAAAGCGCGCGUAGGCGGUUUUUUAAGUCUGAUGUGAAAGCCCACGGCUCAACCGUGGAGGGUCAUUGGAAACUGGAAAACUUGAGUGCAGAAGAGGAAAGUGGAAUUCCAUGUGUAGCGGUGAAAUGCGCAGAGAUAUGGAGGAACACCAGUGGCGAAGGCGACUUUCUGGUCUGUAACUGACGCUGAUGUGCGAAAGCGUGGGGAUCAAACAGG
rnacentral:rRNA from 2 species